rnacentral:rRNA from 1 species
GGGGAAUUUUCCGCAAUGGGCGAAAGCCUGACGGAGCAAUACCGCGUGAGGGAGGAAGGCUCUUGGGUUGUAAACCUCUUUUCUCAGGGAAUAAGAACUGAAGGUACCUGAGGAAUCAGCAUCGGCUAACUCCGUGCCAGCAGCCGCGGUAAGACGGAGGAUGCAAGUGUUAUCCGGAAUCACUGGGCGUAAAGCGUCUGUAGGUGGUUAAAUAAGUCAACUGUUAAAUCUUGAGGCUCAACCUCAAAAUCGCAGUCGAAACUAUUAGACUAGAGUAUAGUAGGGGUAAAGGGAAUUUCCAGUGGAGCGGUGAAAUGCGUAGAGAUUGGAAAGAACACCGAUGGCGAAAGCACUUUACUGGGCUAUUACUAACACUCAGAGACGAAAGCUAGGGUAGCAAAUGGGAUUAGAUACCCCAGNUAGUC